rnacentral:rRNA from 1 species
CCCUUAGAUGUCCUGGGCCGCACGCGCGUUACACUGAUGCAUUCAACGAGCUAUAACCUUGGCCGAGAGGCCUGGGCAAUCUUGUUAACGUGCAUCGUGAUAGGGAUAGAUUAUUGAAAUUAUUAAUCUUGAACGAGGAAUUCCUAGUAAACGCAGAUCAUCAAUCUGCAUUGAUUACGUCCCUGCCCUUUGUACACACCGCCCGUCGCACCUACCGAUUGGAUGGUCCGGUGAAGCCUCGGGAUUGUGGUUCUUGCCGCUUUAUUGUGGCGUGACCGCGAGAACUUGUCUAAACCUUAUCAUCUAGAGGAAGGUGAAGUCGUAACA